rnacentral:rRNA from 1 species
GCAAGUCGAGCGGAAACGAUGAAGAGCUUGCUCUUUAGGCGUCGAGCGGCGGACGGGUGAGUAAUGCUUGGGAAUAUGCCUUAUGGUGGGGGACAACAGUUGGAAACGACUGCUAAUACCGCAUAACGUCUACGGACCAAAGGGGGGGAUCUUCGGACCUUUCGCCUUUAGAUUAGCCCAAGUGAGAUUAGCUAGAUGGUGGGGUAAUGGCCUACCAUGGCGACGAUCUCUAGCUGGUUUGAGAGGAUGAUC